rnacentral:rRNA from 1 species
GACAGAGGGGGCAAGCGUUGUCCGGAGUUACGGGGCGUAAAGGGCGCGGAGGCGGUCUGCGGCGACGGCGCUGAAAGCGCCCCGCUUAACGGGGCGAGGCGUGCCGAUACGCGCAGGCUCGAGGCGAGCAGAGGGUGGUGGAAUUCCGGGUGGAGCGGUGAAAUGCGUAGAGAUCCGGCGGAACGCCAGUGGGGAAGCCGGCCACCUGGGCUCGGCCUGACGCUGCGGCCCGACAGCGUGGGGAGCAAGCCGG